CCUGUCCCUAGAGGCAUUGCAGGUGUGGCUGCUGGGUCACGUGUUCGUCAGUAGGUGGCAGAGAGGAGAGAGGCUAUGUCUAUGCUCAGUGUUCUGACUUGUGACCAUCUGAAUGAUCAGCAGCCUAACAGU